CAGAAAGAAUACAGAGUAGCAGGCAAUAAAGGAAAUGAUCAACAGAAGAAACAAGCAACUUAGAUGAGAAACACAGUAAGCACUACGGAUGAAGAGACAGUAUAAAUGGAGAAAGAUAGGAAACAAGAAUGCUUUAUGUUGCACCUCUUACAGUCUGUCAAAUUCUGCUAUUUCUUUCUGAGACCUGCUUAUUGCACUGCCUCACAUGUGGGGGUAUUAAGCAACAGGUCAAAGCAUUGUCAACAUGAUCUUUAACCAUGACCUGAGCUGAGUUAAACUCUUAGGAUAUGACAUCUCAGCCACGUUGCAAGGUGAUGUGAACAUUCUAAUUUUCAUCUCUGCACUGUCAGAGCAUAGUAUCCAGACAGGAGUCUUCAUAGCAAUGUGAGAGUAAGCAUUGCUCAAUAAGCAAUUAUUUUAUGUGGACCUGUGGACUGUCACUGCGGUCUUCAGAGCAACUUAUCUUGAAAUCACCUUUAAAUAUUGAACCUAAGAAAUCAGUUCAGUUUUGCUCUCAGGGAAGGCACAGUAGUUCUGUUAUUGCUGAAAUUCCUGAAAGCAGAAUGCAUUACCUAUGAUUCCUGCAAUGAAGAUUUUCAAUUCCAUUGUAAUAAAAAUCUUACAUUAUAAAACCGUAAAGAAAUAAAGACUUUCACAUGGAAAGAACUGCUUCAUAUUUUAGGAGUUCUAAUUUUUCUAUAUUUGAAUGCAAACCUAUUUCAUAUCUAAUGAAGCAGUUCACAUGGUAGGUCAUUUGGUUUUGCUUUUUUUUCCAUAUUUACUCAUUAGAAGACAAUGAUGGGUACAGAAAAGCAACCUAAACUAACAGUCUUAAAC
ensembl:lncRNA